AUCGUUAUUUGGGCCGAAUGUCGGCCUAGUCGCUGCGUAUUUCUGCGAAACUGUUUCCACUAGUGACUAGACCGAACACUCGCGUCCUAAAGCACGA
rfam:Aedes albopictus isolate Foshan contig118145, whole genome shotgun sequence.